AGAGUUUGAUCCUGGCUCAGAACGAACGCUGACGGCGUGGCUAAGACAUGCAAGUCGUACGGAUUUUCCUUAUGAGUAAUCAUACGGAAAGUCAGUGGCGCAAGGGUGAGUAAUGCAUAGAUAACGUACCCCGAGCUCCGGAAUAACUGCGGUCUUCGGACCUUUAGCGAAAGUGCAGGUAAUACCGGAUGAUGUCCGGUGGUCGAAUGGCCGCCGGACCAACGGGCCUUCGGGUACCGGCUCAGGAGCGGUCUGUGUCGUAUCAGCUUGUUGGUGAGGUAAUGGCUUACCAAGGCAACGACGCGUAGCGGGGCUGAGAGGUUGACCCGCCACAUCGGGACUGAGACACUGCCCGGACCUCCACGGAGGGCUGCAGUAACGAAUCUUGGGCAAUGGGCGCAAGCCUGACCCAGCGACGCCGUGUGUAGGAUUAAGCCCCUCGGGGUGUAAACUACUGUCAGGGUGAAGAAAGGCAAGGGCUGUAAGGCCUGAGCUUGAUCGAUCCCAGAGGAAGCACCGGCUAACUUCGUGCCAGCAGCCGCGGUAAUACGAAGGGUGCAAGCGUUGUUCGGAAUUACUGGGCUUAAAGCGCAUGUAGGCGGGAGCGUAAGUGCCUUGUGAAAUCCCUCGGCUCAACCGAGGCCUGGCUUGGCAUACUGCGCUCCUUGAGGCAGGUAGGGGUGCGUGGAACUCUAGGUGGAGCGGUGAAAUGCGUAGAUAUCUAGAGGAACGCCAGCGGUGAAAACGGCGCACUGGGCCUGUCCUGACGCUGAGGUGCGAAAGCGUGGGUAGCGAACGGGAUUAGAUACCCCGGUAGUCCACGCCGUAAACGAUGUCUACUAGAUCGCGGUGACUCUGACGUUGGCGCGGUCGAAGCAAAAGUGGUAAGUAGACCGCCUGGGGAGUACGGUCGCAAGGCUAAAACUCAAAGGAAUUGACGGGGGCUCACACAAGCGGUGGAGCAUGUGGCUUAAUUCGAAUCAACGCGAAGAACCUUAUCCUGGGUUUGACAUGCUUGGAUGCCCGCUAUGAAAGUAGUUGGGCUGCCUCGGGUGAAACUUGCACAGGUGCUGCAUGGCUGUCGUCAGCUCGUGUCGUGAGAUGUCGGGUUAAGUCCCUUAACGAGCGAAACCCCUAUCGUUAGUUGCCAGCGGGUCAUGCCGGGAACUCUAGCGAGACUGCCGGUGUUAAACCGGAGGAAGGCGGGGAUGACGUCAAGUCCUCAUGGCCUUUAUGCCCAGGGCUGCACACGUGCUACAAUGGCGACUACAAAGCGACGCAAGACCGCGAGGUGGAGCAAAUCGCAGAAAAGUCGUCCCAGUCCGGAUUGCAGGCUGCAACUCGCCUGCAUGAAGUUGGAAUCGCUAGUAAUCGCAGAUCAGCUAUGCUGCGGUGAAUGUGUUCCUGAGCCUUGUACACACCGCCCGUCAAGUCAUGGGAGCCGGGAGUACCUGAAGUCGGGUAGCUAACCCGUAAGGGAGGCGCCUGCCGAUGGUAAGUUCGGUGACUGGGGCUAAGUCGGAACAAGGUA
rnacentral:rRNA from 1 species